CCUACGGGCGGCAGCAGUGGGGAAUAUUGCACAAUGGGGGAAAUCCUGAUGCAGCGACGCCGCGUGAGUGAAGAAGUAUUUCGGUACGUAAAGUUCUAUUAGCAGGGAAGAAAAUGACGGUAGUUGACUAAGAAGCCCCUGCGAACUACGUGCCAGCAGCCGCGGUAAUACGCAGGGGGCAAGCGUAAUCCGGAUUUACUGGGUGUAAAGGGAGCGUUGACGGGAGCGCAGGUCUGGAGUGAAGUCCCAUGGCUUAACCAUGGAACUGCUUUGGACACUGUGCAGCUAGAGUGCAGGAGAGGUAAGCGGAAUUCCUGGUGUAGCGGUGAAAUGCGUAGAUAUUAGGAGGAACACCAGUGGCGAAGGCGGCUUACUGGACUGUAACUGACGUUGAGGCUCGAAAGCGUGGGGAGCAAACAGGAUUAGAUACCCGAGUAGUC
rnacentral:rRNA from 1 species